UAGAUUGGGGGAAAAGCUAGAAGGAUGUUAUGAAUGGUCCCUUGAAGAUAUAUGGUGCGAAAAUGUGGUGGAUCAUCAAGGAUAGGGGCUAGAAAUGCGGAAGUUAUGGUAUUUGUGAGGCUAGAAGCUCAUAGUCAUAUGGUGGUUAAAUGGUGGUGAUGUUGUGUUUGAAGGCUCUAAGAGAGGUUACGUCAACUCAAAGAGAAAGGUGACUAGAGGGGCCUCUAGGGUUGCUCUAAUCUUGAUCUAAGAUGAGUAGUAUGGCAAAAAAUGGGCAACAUAACAUUACUCAACACCAUAGAUGAAUACAUUAUAUGAGACACCUCUAUUUAUAGGCUAAGG
rnacentral:lncRNA from 1 species